rnacentral:tRNA from 1 species
GAAAAGAUAAGCUAAAAUACAAGCUUACGGGCUCAUACCCCGUCCAUGAAACCUCUUUCUCUUUUCA